rnacentral:rRNA from 1 species
GAUGAACGCUGGCGGCGUGCCUAAUACAUGCAAGUCGAGCGAACAGACGAUGAGCUUGCUCCUUUGACGAUAGCGGCGGGCGGGUGAGUAACACGUGGGUACCAUACCUAUAAGACUGGGAUAACUCUGGGAAACCGGACCUAAAACCGGAUAAUAUUUCGAACCGCAUUGUUCGAUAGUGAAGGUUAGCUCUGCUGUCACUUAUACAUGUACCUGCGCCGUAUUGGAUAGUUGUAAAGGUAACGGCUUACCAAGGCAAGGAUACGUAGCGGACCGGGGAGGGGGAUCGGCAAGACUAGAACGGAAACGCGACACAGACUCGAACGCGAGGCGGCGGAAGGGAAUCGUAUGCAAGGGGCGGAAGCCUGACGGAGCAACGCCGCGUGGGUGAUGAAGAUCCUCGGAUCGUAAUACAAUGCUAUGAGGGAAGAAAAGACGUGUAAAUAGCUAAGCUCGUCUUGACGGUACCUUAUCAGAAAGCCACGGCUAACUACGUG